AUAAGUGAUUGGAAUAAAAUUCCCACGCGCUCCGGACUGCGGCUGGAGGCAGGGAGCCCGGGGACGCGGGGUGCACCCGCCUGAGUAGCUCCACACAUGUAGCUCCACACACCGAUCGAAGGACAGACAGACGGACGAACAGGGGCAAAAGACUUACCUUCAGGGUUGGCGCUGAUGAAGACCCGGACGCUGCGGCCGGCGGGUACGAGCUGCCAGCUUUUCUCCUCGAUGACAGUCUCAAAUGUGCACCUUAGGAACCUGAUUUCACCAUCUGACACCUAUUUGCGGAAACUUAUUUAUUUAUUCGUUUGAAGGGCUUUCAUACAUGCUAAUUUACCUUGUUUCUAACCCCGUGAGGUUGACGAACACCUGGAGUGAAGAGGAGAGGUCUGUUUGACUCACUGAGGUCUGUUGGGGGUUUUAGGCCCCACUGGUUAGCCUUGUUGCUGUUGGGUCUACAUGGAACAGUGCAGCACGGUGGGGAAUGGAGAGAGCACGGCGAGGUAAAGCUGCUCACAUUAUGACCUGCGUGAAGACCGACCUCUGCACAGGCAGGACCGCAACGAACUAAAGCCUCCCUCACGUUGAAGGGAAUGGGGCCAAGCCUUUACCGCACAGGUGUUUAGAAGACUUCAAAUACAAGUGGGAGCAGCAGCAAAGGUGGCUGAGAAAAUUCAGAAAGUUUAUCUAAGUCCAGAGAGCCAGAAAGUACAGGGCAAGAAUGCCAUCCAGAUUAAUCUCACCAUUCCAGUCGACAAUAUCUUUUCAUUUCGUAAAGCCAAGUCCGUAAGAAAACGUUAAAAAAGUCUUAUUCUUUAAGCUGUUUCAUGCUGGUAUGGCCCAUGUAUUUGAAAUAUGUUUCUCACGUCACUUGUAUAUAUAUUUUCAUUGUUUAAAUGCUUGUAUGUACAU